rnacentral:rRNA from 1 species
UACAGAGGGUGCUAGUGUUAAUCGGAUUUACUGGGCGUAAAGCGUGUGUAGGCGGUUCGUUAAGUCGGGUGUGAAAUCCCUGGGCUCAACCCGGGAAUUGCAUUCGAUACUGGCGAGCUAGAGUACGGUAGAGGGCGGCGGAAUUCCGGGUGUAGCGGUGAAAUGCGUAGAUAUCCGGAGGAACACCGAUGGCGAAGGCAACCGCCUGGGCCUGUACUGACGCUGAGACACGAAAGCGUGGGGAGCAAACAGG